rnacentral:rRNA from 1 species
GGAAUCAUUGGGCGUAAAGGGUACGUAGGCGGCUAGAAAAGUUAGAAGUCAAGGGCUAUAGCUCAACUAUAGUAAGCUUCUAAAACUAUUUAGCUUGAGAAAUGGAAGGGAAAGUGGAAUUCCUAGUGUAGCGGUGGAAUGCGCAGAUAUUAGGAAGAAUACCGGUGGCGAAGGCGACUUUCUGGCCAUUAUCUGACGCUGAGGUACGAAAGCGUGGGUAGCAAACAGGAUUAGAUACCCUGGUAGUCAAGGGCG